AUUCCUCACCUCCCUCAGACCUCUGCUCAGAGGUCACCUUUGCUGUGAGGCUUACCUUGACUGUCCCAUUUAAAAGUGCACCCCGACAUUCUGCAUGGUGGCUUCCCUCUUCCAUUGUGCAUGUCCUCUUCUUACAUACUGGAGUUUCUUGAGCCUUGUGUUUGCUGUCUUCUCCCUCCAGCAUUAUCCGUUUUGUGCCCUGCAGCAUUCCCACAGCAACCAGCACAGCCCUUGUGUGGUGGAGGUGCCGGGCAUACUGAGAUGCAUCUGUCAGCAUCUGCCUCCUGGUACCUUGGGCCUGCAUGUCUGGCAGGCAGGUAGAAGAACACGCUGGCCAUUUCAAUGUUAAGACAAAGAGGUAGAGAAGGCUGGAUGAAGGAGGUGAUGACUGAACCAUAUCCUGAGGCAGCUGGGGUUUCCAGGAAGAGGACAGAGAGAAGGACAUUCAGGUGGAGGAGCCAGCAGAUGUGACAACCAGUGCACAGAGAGAUUAACUAACUUGCCGUCCAGUGGGCAUGUGGUGGAGCCCAGGGUGAAACCCAGGCAGUCUCUAAAGCAUUGCCUUCCAACAUGCAAUGGAGUGUGAAAUGCGGAAGCCAUGGGGAAGCACAGGAAAUCGGCCAUGUAAGAUAGGAAGCAAUGGUUCGAUUUAUUCAGUGGUGACGUCCACCACAGCUGCAUUCCAGUAAUCUGCACCCCUCAUCCCAACAUCCUCACCCUGCUCUGCCUGUGUUGGACAACUCGUCUUCUUGACCGGAGGUGAUCUCCCACAGUGAGGUAGCCCUACCCUUUUGUUUCAGCUCUUGGAAAACCCCAAACCUCAAGGCCAUACACUCCUUGUGGCCAAGUGAGCAUCUUGGCAACUUCCCGGCUUUUCCAAAGAGAACUAAC
rnacentral:lncRNA from 1 species